UGAAUACUCCCUCCGCCCCAAAAAGUUUGUCUUAGAUUUGUCUACAUACAGAUGUAUCUAAAUAUGUUUUAGUAUUAAAUACAUUUAUAUGUAGAUAAAUUUAAGACAAGCUUUUUGGGACGGAGGCAAUGCUCA
rfam:Triticum aestivum genome assembly, contig: Triticum_aestivum_CS42_TGACv1_scaffold_557548_7AL